rnacentral:lncRNA from 13 species
GUGUUUCUAGGCUCUCAGAUGGUACUAUAUAGUCUCAUGGUGUUGCUAGGCUCUCAGAUGGUACUAUAUAGUCUCAUGGUGUUUCUAGGCUCUCAGAUGGUACUAUAUAGUCUGUCAUGGUGUUUCUAGGCUCUCAGAUGGUACUAUAUAGUCUCAUGGUGUUGCUAGGCUCUCAGAUGGUACUAUAUAGUCUCAUGGUGUUUCUAGGCUCUCAGAUGGUACUAUAUAGUCUGUCAUGAUGUUUCUAGGCUCUCAGAUGGUACUAUAUAGUCAUGGUGUUUCUAGGCUCUCAGAUGGUACUAUAUAGUCAUGGUGUUUCUAGGCUCUCAGAUGGCACUAUAUAGUCUCAUGGUGUUUAAAAAGCUCUGACAUGUUAAUCACAGGCUUCUCAACACAUUAUUGUGGAUCUGUCCAGAAAUUGUGGCAUUGUUGACAAGUCACAUGAUGUGCAGUGGAACCUAUGAAGAGGCAAGAAUGAAUUAUUUCAGGCUUGGGCAUUGCCAGGUAAAGUAGAUUAACCAAUAACCUCCUGGUUUUUGAUUGGUUGAAAACAGGCUGUUGCCAUUUAUUUUCAUAUUUAAUGUAGGAAAGUUAUUGUACUGUAAUAUAUUACUACUCCANNNNNNNNNNCUAGGAGGGAAGACUGGGAGAAGCCUUGACUGACUGAAGAGUGAAAACAGGAGUGUGUUGGUGUGUCCCGUAGUGUGGAAUGGUCUUGUGGCCAGCGGUGGGCUGGUCUGGUGUUUCCUGUUAAUUCAAGGGCAUUGCUGGGGCCUGGAGAGGAAUGCCACAGAGGCCUCACUGGGUUGGAGAGGGACUGAGGAGGGGCCACAUGGUCUCAGUACCACAGGGAGCUACUCUUCUGGGGACAGUUGACUGACAAGGUAGGCACUUCCAUAUUCUACUUUUUGUUUCAGUCUAACACUCAUUUCAUGACCCCAAUGACGUUGCUGUGGCAGUUUGGAACUCAGUGAGUUGCAUUUGAGGACAGACAAUUUUUAUGCGCUACACGCGGUCCCGUUCUGCGAGCUUAUUUGGCCUACCACUUCACGGCUGAGCCGUUGUUGCUCCUAGACGUUUCCACUUACAGUUGACUGGUGCAGCUCGAGCAGAGCAGAAAUUUUACGAACUGACUUGUUGGUAAGGUAGCAUCUUAUGACGUUGAAAGUCACUGAGCUCUUCAGUGAGGCCAUUCUACUGCCAAUGUUUGUCUAUGGAGAUUGCAUGGUGUGCUUGAUUUUAUACACCUGUCAGCAACGGGUGUGGCUUAAAUAGCCGAAUCCACUAAUUUGAAGGGGUCUCCACAUACUGCUGUGUGUAUAUUGCGAAUCAUUCUGGGGAAAAAAUACCUGGAUGUGUAGCUAGCAAUGUAGCCGAUCUGUGUAUUGACCCAAACGUCUGGUAUACAUAUUAGUUCAGAACCGAGCUAUGAACAUCAGCUAUCAUGGCCAGUUGUACUUCAAAACAGCCUGAAUUACAUUAAUGAAGCCUAUGGAUUGAGUAUAAUAUAACUUUGUGCCAAGGAUGCAAGUCGUAUAUACAUGUAGUUAUUACCAUGCAUGAGAUCCCCACAUUGCAGCCUGUACAUUUAAUAUAUUCACUGAUCAUGUACUGUAGUUAUUACCAGGCAUGAGAUCCCCACAUUGUGGCCUGUACAUUAUUCCCUGAUCAUGUACUGUAGUUAUUACCAGGCAUGAGAUCCCCACAUUGUGGCCUGUACAUUUAAUAUAUUCACUGAUCAUGUACUCUACCUUGGCAAAUAAAGGUGCGGUUCAGGUAUGAAUGUCUUUGAGAUGGUUUUCCAGUCAUAUCCAAUACCAGGAGUAUCAUAUUCCAGUCUUUGAAUGAUGAUGUGUCUGCAUGUAUGUAUUACAAUUAUACACUUCAACAGUGUUUUCCUCUCCUGGUCCUGGGACAUCAAUGGUUACACAUUGGAACUAAUAGACUACAAACAGGAUUGAACUAGUUAAAAGGCUGAUUUGUAAUUGUUUUAUACAGAUAUAUUUUAAACAGUACACUACACUUCCUAUGUAUGUAAAUACUGUAAAAACCGGUUCAUCUCAAUAUCUAAAUCCCUUCAUCUGCAUUGAUAUGAUAAACACAGGAUAGCUGGAGUAUUUCAUCAAAUUAGAGACUUAAUGUCAACCAGUAGAGAAUGUAACAUGCUUUAUUGAAAUAAGCUCAUUAUCCAAGUGUUAUAAAUACAAGUUUGAUCUGUACUUCAUUAUAAAACAGAGGAAGAAAGAGGUGUAAAAAGACCAAAGGAAAGAGGUCAAACAGAGGAGCAGGGAAGGCAGCAUAUUAUUAAUGAAUCGCAGUGCUACCUAAAUAUUCUCAGUUCAUCACAAUUACAUAAGCAUUUCUCGACAGCACAAAGCUUAUCUUAAAAGCGGGUGAGGUGGCGAUGAUAGGACUGGGGGUUGGCAUCCUGAAUUGAUCAACUGUGAAGUGCCGAGGGAAAAACAACAAUGUGCCCCUCUUUUGAGUCCCCAGGACUGAGAACCACUGCUCUUCAUAUGUAGACAGGCUUUCAUAGCUCUCUUUAUCUGAGGACAGAAAACCUCACAAGAAACGCACUUCAUUAUAGUCAAAUUACACCACACUGAAUAUUAUGUUUCUAUUAUCUCUGUCCUCACUUCUAGGGCCAGGAACAACACACAAGUACCUGCUCUUUCCAGAAUAGCCUCCUCUCUCACUGACAGUUGGGGCUGUUAUCAUUCACCCUCCAUGGUUGUGAACUAGCUACCUACAAAUUCAUUUGGAGUUUGUUUUUUACAGUGAUAAAUACAUCUAGCUGCUGAUAUUUAAUUCACUUGGCUAGCUAUCUAUACAGUAUUUUGAGUUAGCCUGCACUGUAGCUAAUAAUUCAUCGUUGUUUUUUUUUUUACAUUUCUGAAAUAUAUUUACUUGAAUAGGUUAUCCCAGUCAUGGGGACAAUUGAAAACAGGGCAGCAGUUUGUUCAUCACCAGAGCGUUUUAGAGGAUAUUACUAUCUACCCAUUUAAUAACCAGACCUUCAUACAAACUGGCUCUGAUGAAUUGUUGAUGUACACUCGAAAAUGUACCGCUAAUAUUUAAGUUAAUGUUAGCUACUUCUGUGGCUUGAGACUGCUAGCUAACAGUAAACGGACAGGGAGUAUGCCAAACCACCGCUAUCCAUGAAUCUCUAGUGACGUCGCUGAUUUGAAUGCAGCCUAACAUGCUGACCAGACCGGACACGUCGCGUGCUCGAGCGUCGCAAAAUGAAUUUAGAAAGUCACGUUAUUCAAUAAUUGCGCUCGCCAAAGGGCGUCUGUGACGCCAACGGCUAAAAUAGAACUCAUUCCUAUUUCUGACGAAGAUCGCGCUGAAAGUCCCGCCUCUCCCAUCUCAUUGGUUUAUAGAAGCAGGUACCCACGUCUCAUCUCCUCAUUGGCUAUACCCACGUGGGUGAAUGAAAGACAACUGUUUUGCCGGUAGUCGUGGUAAUACAAUGAAAGUUUUGAUGCGAUCACCAUAAACGAUAAGACGGAGAGAUGACUAGAAACGAUUCGGUUGGCCGUUUUAUGUGUGGAUUAAUUGUUGGAGUAGAGGUCCUUGUGUAUUUCAGGUAAAAUAACAACUCAAUUUUUAUAUCCCAGGACAAAUUAGCUAGCAACAGCAAGCUAGCUAAAUAGGACAAAUGAACGUUAGCUAGCAAAAGUGCAAGCUAUCUAGCUAAAUAGCCAUACAUGUUUAAUGCUUUUCGACCUGUCCCCAAAUGAAUGUCAUUGGUUCAGUUUGUUUUGAUAUUUUAACCUGCGUGUGUCGCGUUUGGUGUUGGGGGGGACAAAAUAAAUGCAUGACGACGCACCGAGCAGCCGGUUUGGGUUCCGUGUAAUCCAUGAUGUGUUCCAGUUAUCUUGGGUUUGACUAGUCGCUAACUAACCUGCACCGAGGUUGACUG